rnacentral:rRNA from 1 species
AGUGAACGCUGGCGGUAGGCCUAACACAUGCAAGUCGAACGGCAGCACAGUAAGAGCUUGCUCUUACGGGUGGCGAGUGGCGGACGGGUGAGGAAUACAUCGGAAUCUACUUUUUCGUGGGGGAUAACGUAGGGAAACUUACGCUAAUACCGCAUACGACCUACGGGUGAAAGCAGGGGAUCUUCGGACCUUGCGCGAUUGAAUGAGCCGAUGUCGGAUUAGCUAGUUGGCGGGGUAAAGGCCCACCAAGGCGACGAUCCGUAGCUGGUCUGAGAGGAUGAUCCGCCACACUGGAACUGAGACACGGUCCCGACUCCUACGGGAGGCAGCAGUGGGGAAUAUUGGACAAUGGGCGCAAGCCUGAUCCAGCCAUACCGCGUGGGUGAAGAAGGCCUUCGGGUUGUAAAGCCCUUUUGUUGGGAAAGAAAAGAAGCAGGUUAAUACCCCGCUGUUCUGACGGUACCCAAAGAAUAAGCACCGGCUAACUUCGUG